GAUCUUUUGGUCUAAUGGUUAAGACAUUGAUUCUUCAUAUCAAUUAUAUCGGUUCGAUUCCGAUAAAGAUUA